rnacentral:rRNA from 1 species
AUUGAACGCUGGCGGCAGGCCUAACACAUGCAAGUCGAACGAGUGGCGGACGGGUGAGUAAUGUCUGGGAAACUGCCCGAUGGAGGGGGAUAACUACUGGAAACGGUAGCUAAUACCGCAUACCAUCGGAUGUGCCCAGAUGGGAUUAGCUAGUAGGUGGGGUAACGGCUCACCUAGGCCACGAUCCCUAGCUGGUCUGAGAGGAUGACCAGCCAAACUGGAACUGAUAAACGGGCCAGACUCCUACGGGAGGGAGCAGAGGGUAAUAGUGCACAAUGGGCGCAAGCCAGAUGCAGCCAUGCCGCGUGUACGAAGAAGGCCUUCGGGUUGUAAAGUACUUUCAGCGAGGAGGCGGUACUCGCAGAAGAAGCACCGGCUAACACCGUGCCAGCAGCCGCGGUAAUAC